rnacentral:rRNA from 1 species
CAGCCGCCACGGGAACACGGAGGGUGCAAGCGUUAAUCGGAAUUACUGGGCGUAAAGCGCACGCAGGCGGUCUGACAAGUCAGAUGUGAAAUCCCCGGGCUUAACCUGGGAACUGCAUUUGAAACUGUCAGGCUGGAGUCUUGUAGAGGGGGGUGGAAUUCCAGGUGUAGCGGUGAAAUGCGUAGAGAUCUGGAGGAAUACCGGUGGCGAAGGCGGCCCCCUGGACAAAGACUGACGCUCAGGUGCGAAAGCGUGGGGAGCAAACAGGAUUAGAUACCCCGGUAGUCCUUGUCUCUUAUAC